UUGCACUUGUUUUACUUUUCAAUGCAAAACACCUGAACUGCCAACACAAAAGCAACACAAUCGUUUUUUUCACCUUGUCUGAUCUACGUUUGUUCCAAAAUUUAACCUUCACACUAUACUUCAAAUCUAUGUUGUGCAAGACUUGUCACAUCAAAACUCGGGCUUUGGUUUCCACUAGGCACUUAUUGAUUGGUCGCUAAACAGUACGGCAUACCGUUUGUGGAAACUUCGGCGAAGACUAGAAUGGGUGUAGAUGAUGCCUUUUAUACAUUAGUUCGAGAGAUUCGUAAGGACAAAGCGAGUAGAGGGAAGCACAAGUCGCCGAAACUUGGAAUACCGGGCCACGGCCGUUUUAAGCAGAUUCGAUGUAGUAUCCUCUAGAAGUCGACUGAUUUGUUAAUAUCUAAAAAGAGCGAGCUUUGCUUUGCCAUUGAUCAUCCGAUCGUUUUUCAUAAGAAGUGUGAUAGUGUACGAGCAACUGUUUUGUUGCAAAUGUAAAACGUUCGCUGUUUAAAAAUAAUGCUUUAAAAAAUUUUUGAUAUUUCUUACAGUUAAGGGAACUUUUAUUUUGAAUUACUUUUUAAAUUCGAGUGCAUAUAUACAGAAGUUGUAAAUCGGAACUGCCUUGACUUAAAUUAUUUGUGCUUUAAAAGUGUAAAUCAGGGUUUAUUUUGUUUUAUUGUGGUGCAGGGACAACUUUAUGAAAUUGUUGGUCUGCGGGAUAAAAUACAUACCUUAGUAUGUAACUAAAAAUACUUAACUUUGUUUGAAUUGAAUGAUACUUGUACGCUCAGCUUAUGAGGGAAUUUCUUCACGCACACAUCGUUGUGAUCCGUAAUAGUUUAGAUGACAUUUAUAUUUUCGUGUACAUUAGAGGUAAAUUACAGUUAUAGAAUA